rnacentral:lncRNA from 1 species
UAAAAAAAAAAAAACUGGGAAGGGGAUUUGGGAAAUCCUAAAAAACGGGAGGGAAAAAUGCUGAAAAAAUCCUAAAAAAUGGGGGGAAAUCCUAAAAAAAUGGGUGGAAAAUCUUAAAAUUUGGGGUAAAAUAUUUAAAAAAAUAGGGGAAAAUUGUAAAAAGAUUUGGAGGAAAAUUUUAGAAAAAUGGGGAAAAAGAAUCUUAUAAAAAUUGGGGGAAAAAAAUCUUAAAAAUUUGGGGGAAAAUCUUAAAGAAUUUUGGGGAAAAUCUUAAAAAAUUUGGGGGAAAAUCUUAAAAAAUUUGGGGGAAAAUCUUAAAAAUUUUGGGGAAAAUCUUAAAAAAAUUUGGGGGAAAAUUGUAAAAAAAUUUUGGGGGAAAAUUGUAAAAAAAUUUUGGGGGAAAAUCCUAAAAAAAUUUUGGGGAAAAAUCUUGGGGAAAAGGGAAAAUUCCCUAAAAUUCCCUAAAAUCCCCCCUGGGUGUCUCUGCAGGUGCGGCCGGAGCCGGUGGCGCCAGGUGGGACACGGAGGGGACACCUGGGACACACCUGAGUGUGACACCUGGGACAUUCCUGAGUGUGACACCUGGGACACACCUGAGUGUGUGACACAGCUGGGACACUCCUGAGUGUGACACACCUGAGCGUGACAUGGAGGGGACACCUGGGACACACCUGAGUGGGACACCUGGGACACACCUGUGCCACACCUGGGACACACCUGGGACACUCCUGAGUGUGGGACACACCUGAGUGUGACAUGGAGGGGACACCUGGGACACACCUGAGUGUGACACACCUGGGCUCGGCCCUGUGUGUGUGACACAACCCUUGGCGGUGUUGGGGACACGGGGAGUGACACAGGUGUGGCACAGGUGUGACACAGGUGACAACGCGUGACAGGUGUCACCGAUGUCCCUGGGCUUGUCCCACCUGUCCUUGUCACACCUGCCCAGGU